UACGAAGGGGGCUAGCGUUGUUCGGAAUUACUGGGCGUAAAGCGCGCGCAGGCGGUUCUUUAAGUCAGGGGGGAAAGCCCAGAGCUCAACUCUGGAACUGCCCUUGAAACUAGAGAACUUGGGUACGGGAGAGGUGAGUGGAAUUCCGAGUGUAGAGGUGAAAUUCGUAGAUAUUCGGAAGAACACCAGUGGCGAAGGCGGCUCACUGGCCCGUUACCGACGCUCAGGCGCGACAGCGUGGGGAGCAAACAGG
rnacentral:rRNA from 1 species